GACGAACGCUGGCGGCGUGCCUAACACAUGCAAGUCGAACGGUGAAGGGACCAGCUUGCUGGUUCUGGAUGAGUGGCGAACGGGUGAGUAACACGUGAGUAACCUGCCCCCUUCUUCUGGAUAACCGCAUGAAAGUGUGGCUAAUACGGGAUAUUCUGGGUCUGUCGCAUGGCGGGCCCGGGAAAGAUAUUGCUUCGGUGGGGGAUGGGCUCGCGGCCUAUCAGCUUGUUGGUGGGGUGAUGGCCUACCAAGGCGGUGACGGGUAGCCGGCCUGCGAGGGUGGACGGUCACACUGGGACUGAGACACGGCCCAGACUCCUACGGGAGGAAGCAGUGGGGACUAUUGCACAAUGGGCGCAAGCCUGAUGCAGCGACGCCGCGUGAGGGAUGGAGGCCUUCGGGGUGUAAACCUCUUUCGCCAGUGAAGCAGGCCUGCUCCUUGUGGGUGGGUUGACGGUAGCUGGAUAAGAAGCGCCGGCUAACUACGUG
rnacentral:rRNA from 1 species